CUACGUGCCAGCAGCCGCGGUAAUACGGAGGGUGCGAGCGUUAAUCGGAAUAACUGGGCGUAAAGGGCACGCAGGCGGUGACUUAAGUGAGGUGUGAAAGCCCCGGGCUUAACCUGGGAAUUGCAUUUCAUACUGGGUCGCUAGAGUACUUUAGGGAGGGGUAGAAUUCCACGUGUAGCGGUGAAAUGCGUAGAGAUGUGGAGGAAUACCGAAGGCGAAGGCAGCCCCUUGGGAAUGUACUGACGCUCAUGUGCGAAAGCGUGGGGAGCAAACAGGAUUAGAUACCCUGGUAGUCCACGCUGUAAACGAUGUCGAUUUGGGGGUUGAGCUUUAAGUUUGGCGCCCGUAGCUAACGUGAUAAAUCGACCGCCUGGGGAGUACGGCCGCAAGGUUAAAACUCAAAUGAAUUGACGGGGGCCCGCACAAGCGGUGGAGCAUGUGGUUUAAUUCGAUGCAACGCGAAGAACCUUACCUACUCUUGACAUCCAGA
rnacentral:rRNA from 1 species